AGAGUGAUAAUUUAAGUAAAAUGUUAAAUUGCAAAUUUAAAAAUGUGUGUCUCAUUCUU
rnacentral:tRNA from 1 species